AGGUAGGAAGAGGCGGCCGCAGACUUUCCGGUCGGCCCCUCGUCCGCUGUCGCGCGCCGGCCGGCUGGCCGCUCGGCUCGGUUGGCGGCUGCCUGGUGUCCGAGGGAGCCGGCCGCUGCUUCCCUACUUCCGGGGAGCUGUUUGGGGCAGUUCCAGUCAGCAGGGUAUCAGAGCAACUCUGUGAGAACAGCUGCGGGUGUAGUCUGGAACUCGACACUUGGUACCAGCCCUGGACUUCUGUGCCCCUCCGACUUCUCAGCACCUCAUGGAUUUGUUGGGGAGUGGGAGAGAGAGUGCGAACAGGGGACGAGGGAG